UUUUUUGUGAUUACGUAAAAUCACAACCCACUUAAUAGAACAAUUUUAUCUUCUAAACCAUACAAUUACAACCCAAACAAAUCACAAAAAUGGAAUAAAACCAGCGGGUUGAAAUUUCAGAACAAAGAAAUCAGUACAAAAUUUAACAAAAUACUAACACAACAAUUAACAGGACAAAGCAGCAAGAAUCAGAAGUAACUGACAAUAAAAAGGUGUUAGGAGCGAAACAGUAAAAAGAAUGAAUCUCAACUGAAACAAUGAUUUUUAUUGAACCAGGCCUCCGACAAAACUCAUACAGCGACCACUUAUGACUCAAGCUAGAGAUCCGACGACAGAGCCUAGGCCUAAAAUCAAUUUAAGACUAGAAUUGCGAAUGGAAAAACCUCAUUUGGACCUCACGCAAGAGCUGUUCGGCGACCUCAACGACCUCGUUCGACUACAUCUUUGGGCAGCGGUUUUCUACUGGGUUUGUGGAAGAUUUUUUGUUGUUAAGAGGCAUUAUUUCAUUUGGUUUCCGGCAGCGUCGUUUUGGUCGGGUUGGAGCUGUUUAAACUGUUAUUUUUUGCAAUUCUAUGGAGCUUUUGCAGCCAGCUUCCAUGGCUAUUUGGUGGGGAUAUUAGUUAAAGUUUCCGCUGUUUUGAACUGGUUUUGAAGAAAGUUGGGGUGGCCGGAGAUGAUGGGACUGAUGACAGAGGAGUUUUAGGUUGGUUCCAUUAGGUCGAAGACGAACAACGCUGGUCUUUAAGAGGAGGGGACGUUUUUUUACUGAUUUUUGAUGGUUUUUUGGAGAAGCUGAAUGUGUGUGUUUUCUGAAAUUUUUUUUCCAGCCCCCUCAUUCCUCUCCCUCUAUAUAUGAAUGUCUUG
rnacentral:lncRNA from 1 species